UACGUAGGGUGCGAGCGUUGUCCGGAAUUAUUGGGCGUAAAGAGCUCGUAGGCGGUGUGUCGCGUCGGCCGUGAAAACCUGCAGCUUAACUGUGGGCGUGCGGUCGAUACGGGCAUCACUGGAGUUCGGCAGGGGAGACUGGAAUUCCUGGUGUAGCGGUGAAAUGCGCAGAUAUCAGGAGGAACACCGGUGGCGAAGGCGGUUCUCUGGGAAUAUUCUGACGCUGAGGAGCGAAAGUGUGGGGAGCGAACAGG
rnacentral:rRNA from 1 species